rnacentral:rRNA from 1 species
AACGAACGCUGGCGGCAGGCUUAACACAUGCAAGUCGAACGCCCUAGCAAUAGGGAGUGGCGCACGGGUGAGUAACGCGUGGGAAUAUACCGUUUAGUGGGGAAUAACGUUGGGAAACUAACGCUAAUACCGCAUACGCCCGAGAGGGGAAAGAUUUAUCGCUAAACGAUUAGCCCGCGUGAGAUUAGGUAGUUGGUGGGGUAAUGGCCUACCAAGCCUACGAUCUCUAGCUGAUCUGAGAGGAUGAUCAGCCACACUGGAACUGAGACACGGUCCAGACUCCUACGGGAGGCAGCAGUGGGGAAUAUUGGACAAUGGGCGCAAGCCUGAUCCAGCCAUGCCGCGUGAGUGAUGAAGGCCUUAGGGUUGUAAAGUUCUUUCGCCGAUGAAGAUAAUGACGGUAGUCGGAGAAGAAGCCCCGGCUAACUUCGUGCCAGCCGCCGCCGUAA